rnacentral:lncRNA from 1 species
CCCACCUGGAGGGAGUCUCUGUCCUCAGUAGUGCACAGUGCCUGUUAUGCUCUGUUGCCACGACGACGCACUCAACGGAAUGCUGAUUGGAGGAUGUGGUCAGAUCCAGAGGAGCCUCAGAAUAGAGGCCUGAGUCACGCUGACGUCUCAACACAAGUGGCCGACUCAGCAGCAAAUCACAGCCCCAGCUCCAGCAGGAAUGCUUCCCAACAGUCUGUCUCAAGCUCAUCUUCACCUCAGACUCUGGAGACGGAUAAGGAGAUAUUGAUUCAGCAGGUGACCAAUGACCCCGUCAGUACCAGUACCAGUACCUACCUUUAUUAUUACUGUUGUUGUUGUUUCUGACCAGGUGGACCCGACAGCCUUGAUGGAUGAAGUUCGAAACCUGCACAGAGACAAAUGGCUGUUGGAGCAGGAGCUUCAGACGUGGAAGCUCACUGUCCAAUCAGAGCAGGGACUCCUGGAGGACAGGUGCUCUGAGAUGGAGGUGAACAUGGAAACUCUGAGGCAACACCACCUGCGCCUGCAGGGCCUGCUCACACAGGCGUUAAACAAGGACCCUGACCAAGCCAGUGUAGACGCAGAGACUCAGCAUCAGCCAGACAACACCUCACACAGGACUGGGACAGGAAGCACCACACCAACGUCUGACAUGCAGGAGGAGGACGAUGAAGAACAGCAACCAACUCCAUCCCCAACAAUCCAAUGGGACAAGGACCUCCAUUAUGAGGAGUCUGUGGGUGAAGGGUGUCUCUGUCUUCCAGCAGGAAGAGAGGAUGGGCUUCAGGACGACGAUGCCUGUCUGUCUGAAGAGGACGAUGCGUUUGGGAUGUGUGGCCCGGAGAAGCUGCUGCAAGAAACCGUAGACAGACUGAAGGCUGGGAUGGAGACAGACAGGUGGAAAGAGAGACAGAAAAGUGAGAGCAGCUCUGAGCUUCUCCAGGCUGCAGAGCAGGUGGGAGGCUCCAUACACCACCUGGUGGAUGCUGUGAGCAGGUCCAGCGGACGGCGCCGCUUUCUGCAGCGUCUGGGAGACGGGCCCGCUGCAGCUGAGCAUGCGGUGGCUGGGCCAGGGGGGGAGCACAGCAGAUAG